rnacentral:rRNA from 1 species
GAUGAACGCUGGCGGCGUGCCUAACACAUGCAAGUCGAACGGAGAUUCCGGACGGAAGUUUUCGGAUGGAAGCCUGUAAUUCUUAGUGGCGGACGGGUGAGUAACGCGUGGGCAACCUGCCCUAUACAGGGGGAUAGCAGCUGGAAACGGCUGGUAAGACCGCAUAAGUCGGUUAAAUCGCAUGAUUUGAUCGGGAAAUGAGCAAUCAGGUAUAGGAUGGGCCCGCGUCCGAUUAGCCAGUUGGCAGGGUAAAAGCCUACCAAAGCGACGAUCGGUAGCCGGACUGAGAGGUCGGACGGCCACAUUGGGACUGAGACACGGCCCAAACUCCUACGGGAGGCAGCAGUGGGGGAUAUUGCACAAUGGAGGAAACUCUGAUGCAGCGACGCCGCGUGAGUGAAGAAGUAUUUCGGUAUGUAAAGCUCUAUCAGCAGGGAAGAUGAUGACGGUACCUGACCAAGAAGCCCCGGCUAACUACGUG